AUGAACGCUGGCGGCGUGCCUAAUACAUGCAAGUCGAGCGAACGGACGAGAAGCUUGCUUCUCUGAUGUUAGCGGCGGACGGGUGAGUAACACGUGGAUAACCUACCUAUAAGACUGGGAUAACUUCGGGAAACCGUAGCUAAUACCGGAUAAUAUUUUGAACCGCAUGGUUCAAAAGUGAAAGACGGUCUUGCUGUCACUUAUAGAUGGAUCCGCGCUGCAUUAGCUAGUUGGUAAGGUAACGGCUUACCAAGGCAACGAUGCAUAGCCGACCUGAGAGGAUGAUCGGCCACACUGGAACUGAGACACGGUCCAGACUCCUACGGGAGGCAGCAUUAGGGAAUCUUCCGCAAAGGGCGAAAGCCUGACGGAGCAACGCCGCGUGAGUGAUGAAGGUCUUCGGAUCGUAAAACUCUGUUAUUAGGGAAGAACAUAUGUGUAAGUAACUGUGCACAUCUUGACGGUACCUAAUCAGAAAGCCACGGCUAACUACGUG
rnacentral:rRNA from 1 species